CUCCGUGUAGGCCGCAGUGAAGCCUGAACUCGAGUAGGGCCCAAGCCAGCCAGGAAGGAGGAGGCAGCCAGAGUGUUCUCUGCAGUAGAAGACCCUUUGCUGCCCUGCUCAACCCAGACCAGCAUUUGCCAGGCAGCACCCAAAUCCUUUCAGGUCUACAUUGGAUCUACAGAGAACAAGUAGAAACCUGGAAUCUCAACAACAAAAGGGCUGAACUCAAGCAAUUUGGGAAGACGUUACAGAGAAAUCAAACAGGUUUGAUAUGCAUAUCCUAUGGAACCAACCUUAGAAAAUUAAAAGAUAAUCAUCAAUAAAGAUAUAUCUCCAUGGACCAAUCUCACCCAUCCAAGUGCUGACAGCCAUUUCCUCCACUCACUGAUUAAAUUCACAUUGAAGACCAGAGCUUCAUGAUUAGAUUAAUCCUGAAGGUCAAGCUUCAUACUCAUAGUGAUCUCCACCUUUGGGCUAUUCAGAUUAUAUGAAUUCCACCCCCACCCCAAACAACAGCUUGGCUACUAAAAACAUCAACACUGAGAUUAGAAUUCUAGAAGAUGGAAGCACUCUAAAAUUUGACCCCGAAAGCUCAGUCCUUAGGACAUUAAAAACCCUCUUAGAAGCAGAACCUUUUACAGUUCAUGGAUUAAGGAUUCACCAAGCUUCACGCCAUUCUGUUUCCAAGGAUUGUGGUUGCUCACCUCUCACUAACACAACCACCUCACAGGGAAAGCACAGAGAAAGAGAGAGCCCAUUCUGUGAAUGAGUCCUGGAGAGUCCCAAGACAGAGAACCUCUGAGCUGAAAUCACUAUUUUUGGGGCCCCUCAAUUCCUAGCAAGCUAAGGACCUAGCUGCCUGGAAAUUCCCUGUGCCAAUUGAAUCUCCCAUCUCACUGCUCCAGCACAGGGCAAAGCUGCAAGACAGGUAGCUAUUGAACUCUUUCUCCAUUCCCAUCUUUUCUCUCUCUCACACUCCCAUUUCCUAGUGCCCAUAACCGUAUCUCCUGUCCUUCAGUGCUAACCCGUAAAUGUGAAUUAGGGGCAACUCUAAUUAACCCCCUAAGGGAGGAUUAGCAAAUCUGCUAAGGUGCUAACCACUGCUUUUUACUUGUAAAUAUCUGUUCUUUAAUAAAUCACAGCUUUGCUUUUAAGAAACUGGUGUGCACCCUAUUGUGCCCUUCUGAAUACUCUAACUUGGGCGUAUCCUAUCUAUGGUCAAAUUUCCCAGUACCUCAGUGUAUAAUUUGGCUGUGUGCAAGUUUUCACUAAACUGAGUUAAAUUAAGCCAACAUUAAGCCAAAGCAUAGUCAUGAAGGGUGAUAACUACCACACUUCAGAGCAAAUCUGGUAAUAGAUUUAUUUGUGGAGAAGGUUUAUGCAACUGUAAACUGGUAACCGUGUAUGUACAUUCUUCUCCUGCAGUGAGACUCUGAGGGUUUUGUGGGUCUAACCCUGCCGCUGUAGAGGGUAGAGGUCACAGCAGUUGUCAGCAGUGCAGUGUUCAGGUGGAUGGACCCAGUAAGCUGAUUUGGGGGAUCUUUUGUGGGCCACCUAAUGGUGCAGUGGAGAAGCAACCUGCAUAGAGAGCAGGACACUGUUGGUUCGAAUCCCCGCUGGUGUGUUUCCGAGAAUAUGGGAAACCCCUAUAUUGGCAGAAGCGAUAGAGAAAGGUGCUGAAAGUCAUCAUCUCAUAUUGCACGGGAGAAGCCAAUGGUAAAUUACUCCUGUAUUCUACCAAGAAAACUACAUGGGUCUGUGGUCACCAGGAGUCGACACUGACUCGAUGGCACAAUCUUUCUUUUCCUUUUUUGUGAAAUAGCAGAAGAACGCAAUUUCAAGCAUCCCUGUAACUUUGCGCAUCCAUCUGAUGUUCUUGCACUCGCCCAACUUUGUUCAUUGGGCAAGUGUUUCAUUACUCUGGCUAUCAGCCAGACUCUGUAAAUAUGACUAAACCUCCAGAAAUAUGGUUUUGUAGUUCUGAAUUUUGUUUGAUUGCUGGUCAUAUCUACUGUAUCUUAUAUGCCAUGAUUAAUUUUUAAAUAUACAUGGCUUUAUUUUAACAAAGACAUAAAUUGAUUUA